rnacentral:rRNA from 1 species
GUUAGGAAUAUUGGACAAUGGGCGCAAGCCUGAUCCAGCCAUGCCGCGUGAACGAUGAAGGCCUUCGGGUUGUAAAGUUCUUUAGCCGAUGAUUAUAAUGACUGUAGUCGGAAAAUAAGCCCCGGCUAACUUCGUGCCAGCAGCCGCGGUAAUACGAAGGGGGCGAGCGUUAUUCGGAAUCACUGGGCGUAAAGCGUGCGUAGGCGGUUUUGUAAGUUAGGAGUGAAAGCCCAGGGCUCAACCUUGGAAUUGCUCUUAAAACUGCAAGGCUCGAAUCUCGGAGAGGAUAGCGGAAUUUCCAGUGUAGCAGUGAAAUGCGUAGAUAUUGGAAGGAACACCAGUGGCGUAAGCGGCUAUCUGGACGAGUAUUGACGCUGAGGCACGAAAGCGUGGGGAUCAAACAGGAUGAGAUACCCCGGUAGUCC